rnacentral:rRNA from 1 species
CACGCUGUAAACGAUGAACACUAAGUAUUGCCGCGAGGCAGUGCUGUAGCUAACGCAUUAAGUUUUCCGCCUGGGGAGUACGCUCGCAAGAGUGAAACUUAAAGGAAUUGACGGGGGCCCGCACAAGCAGUGGAGCAUGUGGUUUAAUUCGACGCUACGCGAAGAACCUUACCAGGACUUGACAUGGAAUUUAAAACUCUAGAGAUAGAGCCAGAACAAGUGCACACAGGUGG